GGAUGUGAGGGCGAUCUGGCUGCGACAUCUGUCACCCCAUUGAUCGCCAGGGUUGAUUCGGCUGAUCUGGCUGGCUAGGCGGGUGUCCCCUUCCUCCCUCACCGCUCCAUGUGUGGUCCCUCCUGAAGCUGCGCGCUCGGUCGAAGAGGACGACCAUCCCUGAUAGAGGAGGACCGUUCUUCGGUCAAGGGUAUACGAGUAGCUGCGCUCCCCUGCUAGAACCUCCAAACAAGCUCUCAUAAAUUGAAAUUUAAGUUCAAUUGUGUGCUCUUUUUCCCAGGGUGAACUAGACAGAGCCCUGGCUGGAAGCACAGCUUCACAUUUCCACUAUUUCUCA
rnacentral:snRNA from 1 species